UUCUUUAGCACAGUGUCUGACAGAUCUGUGUUCUUUAUUUUCCUGUAAGAAUUCGUAUAGUUUGCUACCAGCCUGAGCUCAACUUGCUUGUUGUUUGCUGGACAGUUAAGUAUUUUUGGACUAAUUUAUUGCAUUGUGACUAGACUGUGUACUGUGGUGGUUAUGAACUUGUCAACAUUUGCUUGAACCUUGCGCCUAGACUGUCCUAGUUGAGGAUGCUGUGCAGGACGGAGAGAAGUUUAUCCACGACCGCGAUAUGGAGUGGCAUGUCAGGUGUGAUAAUAGCUGAAGUGACACAGCCCUCUCUUGGAGUUGGGUACGAGCUGGGAAGGGCACUGGACAUGCACAAGAAGAUCCUCUGUCUGCCCGACCCUCCUUCUGAAAAAUCGUCAUGCUCAGAGGGGCCGAUGACGGGUCCCUGUUCCAGGUGCGAGACUACAAUGAGGAGGAGGUGGAGGGCGUCCUGGAAGAGUACUUAAACAGACUCAUCAAAGUAUAAGAAGAGAUAUAGUUAUGAUUCCCACUUUGCUGUCUGUCAAUGGUUUCUCAAAAAUAGUUAUGAAUCAAGAUUUUUGAAUCGAGAUUCUAUAGAUAUGAUGUAUUAUGAAUAUAUUUUGUACAUACUGUAAGUAAAUGUAGUCUUUUUACAGAUUUCAUAUGACUUUGUUGAAGGCUUGUAAAUCUAAAUCAUAAAGCUCACAUCCAUGGUGCAUGGGCUAUUUUGCGCAUUGUGGUUUGCUUCAUGUGGUAAUCAGUAGAUGCAGGUACCUCUUUGUCCACUGGGUGUCACUUGCUCCCUAAACCAAGCAGGGCUCUUUUCACAUAAAAAUGAAUGAUAUCCUAAAAUUGACAGAUGGUUGACAUAUUGAGCUUGUGAGCUAUUUCUCACUGACACAACAAGAAAAUGUGCUUAGUACCAGAGUAGGUGAAUGAUUUACCUCUCUUUAAGGCAAUCAUAACACUUUCUCUCAUUCAGUAUUUCAAUCUUGGGUUCUAUUUAGACUACUACCUUAGAGCUCUGUAUGCCUAUAAGGAUAGAUGGAAUAGUGGAGUGGUGCCAGCUUGACUUGAAUGUUAACAGGCAGCGGAGCUGUGGAAGGAUGGCAGAGGCCUUUCUACACAGGGGAAUACAUUUCUGCCAUGUGUCCCUAAAGAGGCAGCUGCCAUUGUGGCACAAGCGUUCUUGCCCACACAGGCCCAGUUGUCGGCACUCUGCACUUCCAUCACCUCUGAAACUGUAUCAUAAUCCUCUCCAUGUCUUUGUUUCAUUCCUAAACUGUGACAGGUGACCAAGGAAACAGCCAGCUUUAGAGAAAGAAUAAAU